CCUCCGUCCAUUGCGCUUCUUAGGGAAAACCAAAAGUCUCAAACCCUCCAUCCUUCUAACCUUCGUCCAUAGCUCUUCACGCUCACUCCAACCUUCCAAGGAAGACCCCUCAAAUUCCCCACCACCACCACCACCACCACCACCACAAACACCCCUAAACUAAGCGCCACCUAAAUCUCCUACACCAAAUCCACCACCAAACCCUAAUUUACUUCUCUCUUCUUCACCCCAUGCACCACCACCCCACCAAUCUGCUGCAUCCUUAAAGACAUCUCCCUCACCGCCCUCCCCUCCAAAAUCCUGGCCGCGGUGGGCCCCAGCGGCGCCAGAAAAUCCACCCUCCUCGACAUCCUCGCCACCCGCACCCUCCCCUCCCACGAUACUCUCCUCCUCAACUCCACUCCUCUUGUCCCCUCCACCUUCCGCAAACUCUCCUCCUACAUCCCCCAACAUGACCACUGCCUCCCUCUACUCACCGUCUCCGAAACCUUCCUCUUUGGCGUGGUCUUCUAUAAAUAGUGUAACACACAGUAGGGAACAGAACACAGAUCCACUCGAAAGGGUUAGGUUUCAGGAGAAAAAGCAAUCCACUCAAAGAGCUAGAAGAAUUCAACGAUGCUCGCUAUGAUGAUAAAUAUGACAAUACCCGCCUCUAUUAUAUGGAGCGUGCCUUCCUUAGAUAUGGAAGAAGCAUGCAGAUGUAAACUCACUGCUUUUGUUGAUGGGGUUACUGUGCCAUUUGCUGCCGUUGCUAUUCAAAUACGCCUUAGGAGGAGGCAAUCAUUCUAUAACCACUAGCACUCUUCAGUUGUCAAGAGCAAGCAACGUUGUUAUGCUUCUAGCAUACUUUGCUUACAUCUUCUUCCAAUUGAAAACCCAUAAAAAAUUGUUUGAUGCAUAAGAGGUGAUGAUGAUUAUUGAUAAUUUGACAUUUACUGUUUAGGCACAAUUUAUUUAUGUUUCA